CCCUUAGGAGAUGCAUAUUUACUGAAGAGAGUUUUCUUGGAGCUGAAUUAGUGGUAAGCACCUUGGAAGACUGAGCAAACAACUCAAAACAAGACAAUUAUUUACUCUGAGGAUCAGAGCAGAAAUCCGUACAUGUAAAAGAAAAUGUAAUCCUAGUUGGGUAUGAGAUCUAGUGAAAUGUCCACCGUGACAAUAGGGCAAAUACUGAACACCGAUUUAAUCCCAGUUGAUGAUGCCUGAUAUGCUCAUGGCUGUGCAAAGAGAACAGUGGUGAGGGGCGCAGAUGUGUGUAUAUUCCAUUUGUUGCGCUAGAUUGUGAGAGUGACCGCAAUUGUCUUCUCCCUGUGUCCUUCACAGCGUGAGGCAUAGCAUCUCCGUCAAGAGGUGGAGUUUAUUUUUCCUGCCCUCAAACCCAGCUGGCCUUCUGUCGGAAUGCAGUGGGGACUACCAGUUCUGAGCCUGGUCCUCAAGAAGCUUCGUGGGCACCUGCGCCUGGGAGCUCUGACCGUCCUCUGUGUGAGCGAGCCCGGCACAGCCUGCCAGGCGAUAAGAGGCCCCAGUGGAGUGCGGGAGAGCGACCCCAGCUGAGGCCACUCACGCCGGCCGGCCCCCAGCCAGCCCAGUAACGGGCCACAGCUGCAUGAAUGAGCUCAGCCAAGUCCAGAAGGAUUGCCCAGCCCCGCCCAGCCCAGCCUGGUUCAGCUGCUGAUCCUCGGCAUUGUCGGCCAAGUUGGCGGGUCCUCCCUGAUUCAGAGUGUCCAGUGGUGCAGGCUCACCGUGCUGGGUCCCUCCUGGGCGCGAACCAGUCGUAACACCUCUCCCCUUCCCCGGGAAGAAGCUCUGGAAAGCCAACCUUAUCUUCAGACACUGCCAAGGGAGUGACCCUCUGCUACCCGUUGCCCCAGUGCUUCCUGCGAAACUUUGCCUCGUGUCCAGGGCCUGGUGUGGCCCUCGUGGCCGGUCUCCGCUGGACCCCGCCACACGGCUGAGUUCAGGUAGGAACCGGAAGUUACUUCUUUCAGGGGUACAUUUUGAUGCAGAAGCAAAAGCCAUGACGAACUCUAAAGCUGAUGUAUGCGUUGUGAAAUUCAGACAUUUGCAACAAGCCAGCGAAGGAAAUGUUUUGGAGAGAAACACAUUCUUUUUAACUCUCUAAUCAUCUCACGUAGGCAACUGACUGCCUUCCUAGAGCAUCAGUCCUACUGAAAUGAGAGCCCCUUAAUUCAGGUGGUUUGUGGAAAACAUUUACCAGGAAACCUUUCCGUUCACAUAACAAGAAGCUCUCAGGUAAUUUAGAAUUACUUGUUUUCUAAUGUAAACUCUGUAUUCUUAAAAAGAAAAGACAGAGGUUUAGUGUUUCCUGAGAUUGGCUUCAGUUAAUUAAUACAUGGUUGCUAACUUCAACUAGGGGAGCGGGCAGGGGGUAAAAGUGUUGCCUUAGGGAGACUUUUGUCAAAUGGAUAAUUCAAAAAAGUCAUUCCUUUUGAGCUUAAAGCCAUUAACUCCUCUAGUAACCAACUGUGAGAGUUAUGUUUGAGCUUGUCUUGAAAAUUACUUAAAAAAAAAAGAAAAGGAACAGACAAGGGGCUGCUGACUUGGCUGACAGUUUAUUUACACAUCUUAAACAAGAAGCUGCAUAUACUUGUUUUAAGAUCUGUUUGGAAUACUACCGGCACUCCCCAGCAGUCUUCCAGAAGAGUCCCUCUAUGAUCAGGGUCAGCGCCUGCUACCCUGAAGUUGCUACGGACCCUAAAGAACUCCUUCUUUUUUUUAACCCAGAGGAAGUAAUAUUCAAAUGUUUGUUCUUAUAUACUCAAUCAGUCGAGCGGAUCAAAUCAAAGGGAACUCUUUUGGGACAGGCUCACUAUCUGGUACCUUGUUCAAAAUGUAGCAGCUUAGUUCUGUUGGUUCUAAGUCCUGGAACACUUAGUUCUGUUGGUUCUUUUUGGUGUUGAUGAACCUGAGGAAAGGAGAGAGAAUUCCAACUGGGGCAGUAUGGAAUGGGGGGUAUUUCCAUUUGCUAGGGCUGCGGUGACAAAGUAUCACAGAACGGGUGGCUCGAAUAACAGAAAUUUAUUGUCUGAUGGUUCUGGAGGCUGGGAAGUUCGAAAUCAAAGUGUCAGUGGGGUCGGUUCCUUCCAAGGCUGGUGGAGAAUCUGGAGCUGGUCUCUCUUCUUAGCUCGUCGAUAGCAAUCUCCUCCCUAGGUUUUCCCUCUCUGAGUGUUCCUGGGUCCAAGUUUCCCCCUUUUGCAAGGACACCAGUCAUACUGGGUUAGGGCCCAUCCUAAUGAGCUCAUUUUAACUUGAUUGCCUCUGGAAAGACCCUGUCUUCGAAUAAGGUCACAUUCUAAGGUACUGGGUGUUAGGACUCCAACAUAUGAAUCUCAGGGGUACAAAAUUCAACCCAUAAUUGGGGAGCAGAGGUGUGGCAUUUAGCAAAAACCCAUGUGAGAACCGCAUGCUGCCGUAAACGCACUGAUCCCGGACAGCCUCACCUGCUACACUCAGGACAAUAACAAAUGCUUUCAAUGUCUCAAAGACAAGCCGUCUAGAAGCAGUCAGAUUAAGUCCUCUGUGUUCCUGUGUUUAAAAUCGUGCUGUGGUCUCUUUCGUUAUUAUCCAGGGGAUGCCUAGAACAAUAUGUCUUUCGCAUUGGGUCUGGAAGACAACUCGAAUGAUACUUUGUUAAGAUGCCAUGCUUUGGCAGCCAACUGAUCUGCUUCUUAACAUUCGGAUUCGUGUGGACACAUCACUUAACGUCUCUGUGUUUCUUUUUCCUUAUCUGUGACAUGGCUUAAUAAUACCCACCAUGGGGCUGGACGGUCAGAUGACGCCAUGCGGGUAAGCUCUCAGUUUAGGACCUGGCCCAUAGUCAAUGCCCAAUAAAUGGUCGUUUCUACUACUUUAUUUUUGUAUUUUUGGAUCAUUAUACACAUCCAAUUGUGGAUCGGGGCCAGAUCUUCGGUGUCCACAGACUGAGAGUAGGAGGCGAGGGUCACUUGUCAUGAAAGGGAGCCUUGUGAGUCAGAGGGAGGCUUUACAAGCAGGGUGAUGCUGAGGAGAGGGACAUGAUAGAGGCUUGUGAUGUGACCCACACUCCCCAACAUCCCGUAUGUAUCUGUAAACUGCAGAAAUCAUAGGAUUGUUGAUACGACUGGAUUUCCUGUGGAAGUUGGCAUGAAAUGAAGCUUGGCAUGAGUCUGGUAUUGACUACAGGGUGGAGACAGAAAGUCAGAAGGGAGUAGAGACAGAGGACUCUGUAAGUAAAUAAGAUCGGAAAUUCACAGAAUAUGAAACCCUGUAUUAUCACCUACAAAUAAAUGAAUGCAUGAGUGUGUGAAGCCCGUGUGGUUUCAGGUAUGAUUUUCUAUUGCUGUAAAAUCAGAAAACUUCCCACAAUCUGGUCGCUUUCGACAUUCUUCAGUAUAAUUAAUCUGUUGCAUAAUUACCCGUUUUCCUUCCUAAAGCCCAUUUUCUUGGCCUUGUUUUAGAUCACCUGGUCGUUUGCCUACUGGUCUUUCAGCCAUACAAUUAAUUAAUCUCUCUGUGAAUUUUUCCGCCAUAUAGUGAAUGCAAUUAUGCCCCUUGCUUUCUCUGUCUUUCUGGCUACUAGUGAUCACUUACAGUCCGGUUGGGGAGACUUUGCGUUGGCUGGAGAGGUUCACCCAGCAGGCAGUUCAGCACCAUCCGAAAUCUUCCUCUAAACCACGAUCCCCAGCCUCAUUUACCAUUAGUCCUCACAAUAAACCCUCCAGGUAGGGCAACUAAGUGACCUGUUGCUCCCUGAAUUCCCAUUUUCCAUGUUGGUUUAUCUCCCUGGAAUAAUGUUAUUUAUCUCCGUCUCUUUUGCACACUCCCCCCUCCCAUGGCAUUUUCAUCAGAUGCCAUCACGCACCUCGUCUAACAGUAUCUUCAGCCCUAUUCUUAACUGCAUGGUGAGACUGUGGCUCUCCUCUCCUCAGAGCCCGGUUCACUGACUGACGUAGAGGGGGAGCCCAACACAGGGUUCCAUGAAGGGGUAAAUGAAUGAACAGAAAUGAAUAGUAACAGGGAAAAUCCGAAACAUCAGAUAACCCAAAAAUAAUCUAUAGGUUCCUUUGGUAUGUAUUUUAUACACACAUUCAGGGAACAUCAAACACGAAACUUCAAAUACAGCAAUGAAGCCAGCCUGUGCAGAUCCCACUUGGGUGGGGUGGCCUGGAAAAAGGGUGGGAAUCCUAACAGGAAGGGAGGAACCUCUCCCCAGCCAAGUGCCCUUCCCUAGCCUCUGUGGCUUAUCUAGAAAUCAGAGAGACUCCAAAUGGCUGAGAGCUUAAGGGCACAGGGCUGGGUAAUUAAUAAAUGAUUGUAAUGCCUUUAGAAAUGAAAGUCCUAUGGAAACACUAAAGUAUAAUGACACAAAAAGAAUCAUCUUCCAUUUUCUUCUUUAAAGAUGUAAAUGGCAUACUUGAAAAACAAAAACCCAAAAACCUGAAGUGGUUUGAAGAAACAGCACUAGGUUUAACAGGGACACGCACGGAAUGAUCAUGCAAACCCAUUCGGUGUUCUAAAUGCAGUCACAGUGCUGACCAUCAGCCCUGAAAACAAAUUACAGUAGCUAAUGACAGGGAACAGUAAUUAGGAUGUUUUUAGAAAAUUACUUGGAAGCAAAAUUGUCAACAAAGACCACUCCAAUAUAGCUGUAAACAGCUGAAAUAACAGAAUAAUUCAGUGACCUCUGCCCCAAGCAAUAUGACGAAGAUGUAAAACACAUCCAGGGGCCCAAAUAACUGUCUUUCAAGUCAUUAUGUACAUUGUUUUUAACCUCGGACUCUGUGGGCCGUUCUAAAUGUGGUGGGGAGCCAAGUGCCCUUGAACCGUUGUGUCGUGUGCUAAGCCUUAUCCUGGUUCACUCGUAUAUUCUGGAUAAUCCUCCCUUUCUCCUCUCCUUUGCGUUUUUUUGUUAUCUUUGGCAUUCAUUUUUGAAAAACAUGUGCCUCACUUGGAGCGAAUCCACGAAAGCAAACAACCUGAAAACUUUCCAGACAGCCCUGACUGUUGCGAGCCACAGGCAGCCCCGCUCCGGUGGAACGCAGCUCCCACGGCCCGGCCCGCAGUGCUGCCGAGACCCUGGCGGAAGAGUUUCUCGUUGGCUCUAAUAGCAACUGACAUUUACAUAUCUCCGCGUUAAUUCCCACCCCCCCAGACUGGUGCAGCUCGCGGCUGCGAUAAGCAAGUGGGGGGACGGAGGGUAGAGGCAAGAAGGGGUGGGUGGAGGCGAGUAUGGAACAGGAGACAAGCCUUGAGAUUGAAAAAUGUUUUCUUAGUGCUUCAUUUAGUAACACAGCAAAAUGAGGGAAAUUUGAGGAGCGAGUUGCUUUGAUAAAUUGUCACUUUUUUUUUUUUUUUUUUUCCAGAAAAGCUUGAGUAGAUCUCCUCAUUUACUGCCUGUUAAGGAACAGUGAGCAGUUCCUUACAGGGAUACGUGUGUGUGCGUGCAGAGUGCACACGUGUGUGUUCAGGCAAAACAACCAAAAAUAUAUUUUAAAAAGAAACCAUAUUAAGUGGAAUCCUUUCCAAAAUGUGCAUUCCACAUGCUUCUCUGACUAGAUAGCCUCCCAAGUAGGGUAAGUGUGUUGCCAUUGAGAGCUCUAGUCAUUAUUAGAGCCAACUGCCAUAGAAAAUGCUGGAAUAUAGUUAUGCUCGGAACCCAGUAUUAAAUCGUUUUCAAUAUAUUUUGGUCUGCUUUGGGGUUGUUUUUUCUACCUCUGGACUUUACUGUCAGGCUGGCAGAUGUCACUUUCUGCAGCCCCAUCCACUUUUCAGUUUCCUGGACUAGAAAUUCUAGCUUGUUCGAAUUAUGGCAACAAUGAGCCUACCUGGCUCUCAGUAAGUACCUGUGAAUAACGCAUAGGGGCAUUGACAGUCAUUUUGCUUGUAAGAAAUUUUACUUUUUACUUUUAUCUGUUUCCUGACCACAUUCCAGAGAUUUAAGCUGAUUAUCUAAAUGGGGUGUCACUGAAAUUAAUAAAAGGUGAAUUUAUAGCAUAGGAUUUAGGCAGCUGAUAGAGAUUUAUAUGAAGUGUUCAGAAUACACAUAACUUUGUUUCAGUUCUGUGGCCCUUAGUUUCAUCUUUCCAGGAAUACACAAUAUAUCCAAAUCAUAUUAUUUUUAAUUAAUUUAAUUUGAAAUUUUUCCACUAAUACAACUAAUAUAAUUCUACUUGCUAUACAGAGAAAAGAAACAACCAAAAAAUUCCGUAUUCCUAUUACCCUAACACUACCAUGCUUUGCACUUGGAUAUAUAGUUGACCCUUGCACAACAUGGGGGUUAGUGGCAACAACCCCCCACACAGUCAGAA